rnacentral:rRNA from 1 species
AUGUCCCAAGUCCCGAUCGGCACGGCGGACGUCGUUGUGACGGACACGACGAAAAGCAUGUACCAAGUGCCUAUCUGCACGGCGAACGUCGUCACGAUGAACACAACGGAAAGCAUCUCCCAACUCCUGAUCUGCACAGCAGGCCAAGUCUCCUCGCGCGAUACGCCACAACUGGGCAGCAUGCCGGCUACUGCUGCUAUGGAAGCUGCUUCGACUACAAUGGAAGGAACCUGCUCACCCUCCUUCCAUCAACCAAGAGGCUACUCUGCAUUUGCCUCCGCAUCUAGCUAUCAGCAAACCCAUCUCACAUGCCCUGAUGUGGUCGUCGAAAGCGCUACAACUACAGAACCCCCUUUAGAUGAAAUGGUUCCUGCAUCAGGUCUGAAGCACACUAGACAAGAAGAGUACGAGGCUUCUAUUGGUUGCGAUAUUCCUACCGAAGUUGACAUACACCCACCAACUAAUGUUCGUACUGUGGGGAGAUGCAAAAGAAUAAAAACUGGAAAGGAAACGAGUCAGGAGUAUCAGAAAAAGAAGAAGAAGGAAGCCAAGGGAAAGGUCGCACGCAUGUGCAAGACGUGCAACCAAAUAGUAUUUCAUGAUAGUCGCAAUUGUCCCAGCAAAAAAAUUAAAGGCAAAGGGGUUGAGAUUGUGCAAGAGGUGAAGGGAAAUGUGGUGGUCAUCUACGGGGUUGUGCUGUUGAGGUCGCCGUCGCCGUCGUCGUUGGGAUGUGGUGGUCGCCCGUCUUCGUCGGAACCUGUUGGUCACGGCCGUAGCCGGAGUGUGGUGGUCGCUUGCUGUUGUCUCCAUGACAGGCCGUCGCCGCCGGCAUGCAGCCCGCCUUGUACGCGGACCUCCGGCGCAGGCUGCCGAUGCGAUGGUCAUCGACAUGGAUCUCCGUCCGAGGCUGUCGUCCCAGGCUGCCUAUGCGACGGAAAUCAAUAUGGAUCUCCAUCCGAGGUUGCCGUUGCAACGGCCACCCACACGGCAGGCUGUCGGCACCCUCGCAGCAACCACGCGUACAUAUUUUGCCUGCUACUGGGAUUGGGCGGCCGUGGCCGCCGGCGAGUUGCAACGUUGACUAGAGAUCAGAUCGGAAGAGAUACGAUUGGGGAGUAA